rnacentral:rRNA from 1 species
UGGGGAAUUUUGGACAAUGGGCGAAAGCUGAUCCAGCAAUGCCGCGUGUGUGAAGAAGGCCUUCGGGUUGUAAAGCACUUUUGUCCGGAAAGAAAUCCUUGGCUCUAAUACAGUCGGGGGAUGACGGUACCGGAAGAAUAAGCACCGGCUAACUACGUGCCAGCAGCCGCGGUAAUACGUAGGGUGCAAGCGUUAAUCGGAAUUACUGGGCGUAAAGCGUGCGCAGGCGGUUUGCUAAGACCGAUGUGAAAUCCCCGGGCUCAACCUGGGAACUGCAUUGGUGACUGGCAGGCUAGAGUAUGGCAGAGGGGGGUAGGAAUUCCACGUGUAGCAGUGAAAUGCGUAGAGAUGUGGAGGAAUACCGAUGGCGAAGGCAGCCCCUGGCAAUACUGACGCUCAUGCACGAAAGCGUGGGGAGCAAACAGGAUUAGAUACCCUGGUAGUCCACGCCCUAAACGAUGUCAACUAGUUGUUGGGGAUUCAUUCCUUAGUAACGUAGCUAACGCGUGAAGUUGACCGCCUGGGGAGUACGGUCGCAAGAUU